rnacentral:rRNA from 1 species
UACGGAGGGGGCGAGCGUUAUUCGGAAUUAUUGGGCGUAAAGGGCGCGUAGGCGGCCUUGUAAGUCAAAGGUGAAAUCCCUCGGCUCAACUGAGGAACUGCCUUUGAAACUGCAGAGCUUGAGUGCCGGAGAGGGUGGCGGAAUUCCCCAAGUAGAGGUGAAAUUCGUAGAUAUGAGGAGGAACACCGGUGGCGAAGGCGGCCACCUGGACGGUAACUGACGCUGAGACGCGAAAGCGUGGGGAGCAAACAGG